rnacentral:tRNA from 1 species
GCCCGGGUGGCGAAAUUGGUAGACGCAAGGGACUUAAAAUCCCUCGGCUGGUAACAGCCGUGCCGGUUCGACCCCGGCUCCGGGCACCA